CAAUAGCGUAUAUUAAAGCUGUUGCGGUUAAAAAGCUCGUAGUUGGAUUUCUGUCAAGGACAACUGGUCCGCCCUUCGGGUGAGCACAUAGUUUGGUCUUGGCAUCUUGUUGGAAACUGUUGCUGCACUUGGUUGUGUGGCGCAGCGUCCAGCACUUUCACUUUGAGGAAAUUGGGGUGUUUCAAGCAGGCACAUGCCUUUGGACACAGUAGCAUGGAAUAAUUAGAUUGGGCUUUUGCUCCAACUUGUCGGUUUCUGGAGCUGAGGUGAGAAUUAAUGGGGAUUGUUGGGGGCAUCCGAAUUUAGCCGUCAGAGGUGAAAUUCUUGGAUCUGCUAAAGACGGACAACUGCGAAAGCGUUUGCCCAGGAUGUUUUCAUUG
rnacentral:rRNA from 1 species